rnacentral:rRNA from 1 species
AGAGUUUGAUCCUGGCUCAGGAUGAACGCUAGCGGCAGGCUUAACACAUGCAAGUCGAGGGGUAGAAAUAGCUUGCUAUUUUGAGACCGGCGCACGGGUGCGUAACGCGUAUGCAAUCUGCCUUUUACAGGGGAAUAGCCCAGAGAAAUUUGGAUUAAUGCCCCAUAGCGCUGCAGGGCGGCAUCGCCGAGCAGCUAAAGUCACAACGGUAAAAGAUGAGCAUGCGUCCCAUUAGCUAGUUGGUAAGGUAACGGCUUACCAAGGCGAUGAUGGGUAGGGGUCCUGAGAGGGAGAUCCCCCACACUGGUACUGAGACACGGACCAGACUCCUACGGGAGGCAGCAGUGAGGAAUAUUGGUCAAUGGGCGCAAGCCUGAACCAGCCAUGCCGCGUGCAGGAUGAAGCAUCUAUGGUGUGUAAACUGCUUUUAUACAGGAAGAAACACUCCCUCGUGAGGGAGCUUGACGGUACUGUAGGAAUAAGGAUCGGCUAACUCCGUGCCAGCCGCCGCGGUAA